rnacentral:misc_RNA from 1 species
CAAGUCUUGCACGGGUCGAUAGUCAU